GAGAAGAGCAGAAAGAAAUACAAACAUGUAGUUGGCCAGCCUGUAUCCUCAUUGUUAGUCCUUAGAACUUAGAGUUAGGUUGUCAGAUGUCAAAGCCAAUCAGACGUUACUUCUGAGAACAUUGUUGGUAAAGUGUUUCAUUGAUUGUUAGCUAUGAUUUCUGGUGAUUUUCCAGCCUUUCCAAAUAAAGGAGCAGCCUGAACAGGAGGCUGUUACUCAUUGCUUUGCUCCAUGAAGGUCUUCACUGGUAUGAGCCUUCCCCACUCAGAUGAAUUGAGACUAAAAUAAGUGAUAUUAACACUAGUUCCACUCAACAGCUUGGGUUAUUCACUAAAAUCCAGCAGUUUAUGAAAGCUCGUGAAAGGUUUAAACAAAAGCUAUUGUUUAUUACCAUACACAAAGUCACAGAUUAAGAAAUGAAACAGUAGCUGAAAGCAAAGGUUGUUUCAUUCAAAGCAGGGAGCAGGGUCAGUUUGCAUACUAGAUGUAGUGAAUAGCUUUCAGUUCUAAUUAAUGUAUUAACUUAGCAAAUAGAUGACUUCCAACCUUUAAUUUCCUUUAAAAAUUGAAUGGUUUCAAGUUCCUUUCCGAAUACAUUUCUACAGAAGCUCUUGCAGGUUGCUUCAUACAAAUCUAUACUAGUGUUCUAUAUGGGGUAAAUGAAGCAGAAGGCAGGUUGCAUUUAUCCUAUGACAAGAUGAAAAGCUGAUUACGCAGAUGAGUGCAGAUGAAGUGGAAACCUCUCAGAGAUUAGGUUUUGCUCUCACUGUGCCCUACAUUGCAGCCCAGCCUGACAUAAUCAUUUCAUGUUGGUUGCUUUCUGUGAACUCUUGUUUCCACAUAAAUCAUGUGCUUGCAAAAUGAAGUUACUAAGAAAGUAAUUGUUAAUCUUUGUCUGAAAGUACUAAACAUCAGAAGAGCAAGAUUUUCAGCCAGGGUUUUUUCCAUUCCCUUGUCUGCAGACGUGUCUCAGUAUGCAGAGUAUGAGCUAGUACUUGUAUAGGUGACUAGCUGAUGGUCAAAAAUUUUAGGUAAAAACUCA